GCAAUUAAAAGUGUAGGAUGAAUUUUUUUCCUUUCUAAGCAACAAACAGAAAUACACAGUUGAGUAGGUACUCUUCGUUUUUCACAAUCUCAUCCAAACCCUUUCCCAACUUUGAGGGUUUCAUUGUUCUGAUUCACAAGCACAAAAAUAAAAUAAAAUAAAAGUCUGAACUGUGUAUUUCAUUUGAUUUUAUGAUGACAGAAGAGGGAUUAGAGAGGGAAAAGAUAAGAGAAAAGGUGAAUCAACGUCUAUGAACUCCAUAAAAUCAGGGUGGGUAUUUCAGGACGAUCUGUAAAUCAACUUCGCGAAUGGUUGAAUUGUACUUAACUGUUAUUAAAGUAACUCAAGUAAUCAAUCAUUUCUAUUAUUGUGGAAGUUGUAUGAGGUGAAGGUACGGAUUUUUGUUUUCACUUUCUUAUGUUAUUUUGUAUAUGAAAUAUGGAUCUUUGUGAAAAUAGAACUUUGACUAGAUUAUAAUGGAGGUUGUAUUGGAUUUUUCCGCUUUUGAAACAAUUGAACUUUAGAAAUUUAAAUUUUCCUUAUUUUCUUCCUCGAAUUUCCAUAUUCUUCGCUUUUGAAUGGUUACAAGGAAAUGUAGUUACCAAUCUUUUAGCACAAUGAAACUUCUGCCAGAGAUAAGUUAGAGGUAUUAGCUUUAGUAACAUAAGUUCUUAUAUUUCACUAUGUGAGAAAAUCAUUGUAUUAGUUGAUUUCAGUUAUAAUAUCAUCAUCCAUGUGGAUGCAUGUUCUUAAUGUUUUCUUCGGUGAUUCCUCUCAAUUUUUCUAGAAGGAUAACAAGAAUGAUUUGAUAAUAGAGGAUGAAGAAAGCAUGAAAAAGGACGAUAAUAAAAGAUCAUAGACCAUACACUUGGAAUGAGGGGGCUUCCGAAGGGCACUGAAGAUACAAAAGAGAUGAUCAUAUGUUUUGUUGACACUGGAAUGAGGUAUCCAAUUUAUAAGACUGACAAUCGAUUUUGAAGUUAAAGGUUCCAUGUAGUAGUACUAGGACAUACUCGGAUACACGAAUGGUGGAAUGAACAUUACUACAAAAGUUAUACCAUGUGCAGCUCUAACAAAGUCCUAUGAACAACGUCGUUUUUGUAAAUCUAUAGGGAUAAAUUGGUUGUACUUCUUUCUGCAUCAUAAAGUCACGUGUAGUUGAUUAAUACAACUGUCUUUCUAAUCAGCCCCAGUCCAAUCUUCUCUCUAUUAUUUUUAGAUUGUUCUGUGAUUUCUGCACUUCUAUUUUUGGUUGUUCUUUAAUUCCAACUGGCUUACCUUUUUCAUCUAUAAUCUAAAAAAUCAUUUGAUGCGGUAACUUUUUCGCUCUGGUAAUAUUUUUCUACCGUAUUUCUUUGAUUACUGCACUUUAUUUGUAGUUAAUCUCCAUUUGAUGGGGUAUAUGUUAGUUUUUAAUUCUCCGGUGAAUACUUCAACUAUUUUCUUUUUGUAGUUGAAACUCCCAAUCGAAGUUGUUGUAACUAUAGAGAAACCACAAAAAGAGCUUUUCUUCUUGGCUUGUGAUCAACUGUGAUGUUUCACGGAGCUUUCCAGGUUAUUUCCUUACUAUUUUUACCCUUCUCAUUAUACUGAUGGAUUUACUAUUCAGGUGAAGUGCACGUCUUCAAAUUAUUUACUGUCAUUGAAUGUAUCAUAUACUUUCUUGGAUUUUCUACUUAAUGCAACAUGAAAGAAGUAUAAAUUGGUCUCGGCUAUGUGGUGGCUUAAAGGGUAGCUUACAUUUUGGACCUUUGGAUACCUAUAUGGGUAAUAUUAGCAACUUGAAUCAGUAGUCAAAACAGCAGAGUUGCACUUCCUCAGUUGAGGUGAGGAGUAUAUGAUACCCAAUAUUUUAGCGCCAAUGACAAUUGCAGUCAUCUGUUCUUAUGAUUUAGCAUGUUAAAAGCUAUUUCAGGGUAAUAGCAUGCAAAUCACAAUUUUAAGGUAACCACAUUAAACAAGUCGUGUGUGAUGAGUUCGACCGAGAAAGCAUGUAAGGAGUUUCGAACUUGAGACCUCUCAUUUGGGAGGUUCCCCGCUCCUCAUCAGGCUCAUGGUCGGAAGAUUUCAAGUUCAAAUCGUGUCCCCACCUAAUCAGUGGAGUUACAACCAGAUAAGGAAUGAGUACUCUGUUCUUAUUUCAUUGUACAUUAUAUUUUUUGUCAGCCAUCAAUUAAUAGUCCUAAUUAUAUAGAAGAUAUAAUAUAUUUCCUAAUUUUCCAAAUAUUAGACCAUCGCUUCUUGUAGGCCUCUUAAAUUAGGCCGAAGAGAAGGAAAUGAAUUUUUAGAAAACUCAAAAGGUGCAAAUUCAUAGUGCACUAUUGCAGACACUAUCAAUUAUCAGAGACUUUUUCACCUUAA